GUGACAAAUUGGUAUCAGAGCAGCUAGGUUUCAUUGGUCUCAAUGGUGUAAGAACGGAAUGUCUAAUAGAGUCUUGCGGAUUGGUACGUAGACAUCCGUAUCUAUCUUUGAGAGGCUAUAGGAUGUCUUUAGGAAACUUUUCUCAUUUUAUUCCUUAUCAUGCUAAUUCUUUUAUACCUUGUAUUCUAAGUUGUGUUUCACUCUUUCUACGCAAAUGAAGUUUCUUAUACCUCUUAUCAGUUGAGAGAUACAGCAAGAGAUUAUUGGAUAUCAUUUGUUGGUUGUAGGCUUGUUAAUGCUCUUGAGUUGUUAGAGGAUCAUUUUGUUAAUGCCUUUCUGGAGAGAUUUGUGCCUUUUAGUUUGAGAGAUCGUAUGUGGGACGAGUUUGAUCAUAUGGAGCAGGGCUUCAUGACAAUUUUUUAAGUAUAAGGCAUGCUUCUACGCCCUGUCCAGAUAUGAGCUUGAGAAUAUUUAAAAGUUUGUGAAAGGUUUGGCUGUCUCUCUUCAGUUUGCUACAUCUCAGAUGGUUGUGUUUGAUGGUUUUUUUCAGAGUAUUGUGGAUCAUGUUAAGGUGACAGAGGGUAUUAUUAGUGCAUCUUAGAGAGGCGCCAAAAGGAUACGUCAUUUUGGUGAGUUUAAAAGUCAGACCUCUCGAGACAGAGAUUUUAGAGGUUCUCGAGGAUACCAUGGUAGGCCAGUGCAAGCGACUUUACAGAGUUCGGGUAGUGGACCUUCUAGUUCAGCAUUAUAGGGUGGUCAUUUGGGUCUAGUUGUAUCUUCUCCUAUUGAGACUGGUCGUAGAGGUUGUUAUGUAUAUGAUGAGGUUAGUCAUGUGGCCAAGGACUAAUUUUUCCAUGUGUUUAGAGCUAUUCCUAUUUCAGCUGUGAGAGGUAGGUAUUCUACUAAAGGUGCAAGAGGUAGAGAUGGUAGAGCACGUUUUGGUGGUUGUGGGGAUACUCAGUUAGUUGGUAGUUACAAAUAGUGUUAUGCUAUAUCAGUCAAAUCUGAGAUGGAGGCUUCAGAUAUAGUGAUUAUAGGUAUUUUUCUCUUUUGUUUUAUACAUGUGAAAAUUCAUGGAUGAAAUGAAAAUAAGACAUGUGAAAGUCUUUUAAUAUAUAUAUAUAUUAAAGUGCAAUAGAUGUGAGUUUUUUGUCAAAACAACAAUUACAUUAGAUAGAAAAGAUGAAGAAAAGAUUUUCGAGAAAUAAUCUACAAAAUCAGUUGUCCUAAUUGUUGAUAAUCGAGGUACAAGCUCUCAAUUUAAGUUUUAAAUUUGAUCUAGCAUUAGCCAAAGAAUGAUUUUCAUUUUCGCUUUUGAAUUGGUUGUUUCUGGUCAUUGAAUUAACUUUAUUUUCUUUUACUUUUGUAGUGUUAUUCUUAUUUCAAUAUGACCUUUUUUAUGCUUGCUAUUUUGUAAAGGAUAAAACUUUAUUUUUUAUUUGUAUAUUAUGGUUGUUAUGAGGUAUGUAUGUCAAUUUAUUGUUCAAAUAAUGGAUGCAACUAAAAUUGAACACAAAUAAAACUAUAUUUGAAUUCAAACUAUUAGGCCCGUGCAUAACACGGACAUGCUUAUCUAGUAUAUAUAGAAAUAUGAGUUGGAGGACAACCAAGGGCAUAAAUGUCAUUUCACAUCUAAAAUAUAUAAUUAUUAGUCAAUAGUUAUAUUAAUAAAGAAUGUAAAAAUAACAAAAAUGCCAUUAGCCUUUUUUUUGGUAGCUUAUAUCUCUACAUUUUCUCAAUGAAUCCAUUAUGUGUCUAACAACAUUUUUACUUCCAAGUUCCAGCUUAUUCAACCACAUUAAAUAUAUAAUCUGAAUCUCUUUUCAUGAAAUAUUAAAUUGUUUAUAAAGAUAUAAUUUUUUUUGUGUGGUAAAUAUUGACUUUUUUUCUUCAUAUAUUUAUUUUUUUAUAUUUUAAAUUUUCUAAGUGAAAAUUCUGACUCCGUCGAAUUUUUCAAUGCUCCAAACUUCUAAUAUUUUAAUUUUUUGCUCAAAAAAUACUAUCAUGCAUGAACUUGAUGAAUUAAAAUUUAAAUUNNNNNNNNNNNNNNNNNNNNNNNNNNNNNNNNNNNNNNNNNNNNNNNNNNNNNNNNNNNNNNNNNNNNNNNNNNNNNNNNNNNNNNNNNNNNNNNNNNNNNNNNNNNNNNNNNNNNNNNNNNNNNNNNNNNNNNNNNNNNNNNNNNNNNNNNNNNNNNNNNNNNNNNNNNNNNNNNNNNNNNNNNNNNNNNNNNNNNNNNNNNNNNNNNNNNNNNNNNNNNNNNNNNNNNNNNNNNNNNNNNNNNNNNNNNNNNNNNNNNNNNNNNNNNNNNNNNNNNNNNNNNNNNNNNNNNNNNNNNNNNNNNNNNNNNNNNNNNNNNNNNNNNNNNNNNNNNNNNNNNCUUCAUUAAAAGACUCCGCAAUAGACAAAAUUAUCUUUUUACGCUUUUCAUCUAAUUUUAUUUAAUUAACUUUAUAAUAUUAAUUAUAAUAUUAAAAGAUUAAAGAGUCCUAAACUAUAUGGUAAGAGGAAAAUAUAUAGCCAAUUAAUUUUUAUAGAUUUUCUUUCCUUGUGUAAGUAAAAAAAGAGUCCUAAGACGUAUGGUAAUAAAUAAAGAGUCUUAGAAAACCCUAUAAAUAUAGGGUAAUGGUAUAGGAGAGCAUUAAGAAAAUUGGUCCAUCAAGUAAAUAAUGGUAUCUUAAAAAACCCUAUAAAUAUAGGAGAGCAUUAAGAAAAUUGAUCGAGUAAAUAAUGUUAUCAUUGUUGCAAGGUUGUUGGCUUCUCUCUUCAAGGUACCAACUUCAAUUGAGAUUAUAAGUUGAAUUUAUGAUCUUUGUGUUUAAUUUGCUCCGCUUGAUUUAUGUAUGCUUCCUUUCUAUUUUAUGUUUCUUUCUUUUCAUCAUCGCUUACUUUAAAUUUUGUUUAAAAAAAAAUCAGAAGCAAAAUAAAAAAAUUACAGAAAAUUAAGGACAAUGAGACAAAGAGGAGAGUUAUUCUUAACAUUUACAAUUAAAUAUAAAUAUAUUUAAUCAUUAUCGCUAUUUAUUAAAAAUAAGAUAAAUAAAUUGUGUCUUAAAAUACUACUAUAAUAAUCUAAUGAAUUUCAACAUUUUAUUAUAAAAAUAAGAAAUAGAUAUAUUUUUGGACACCAAUUUUUUAAUGAUUAACCAAACUAUUUAUAUUUAUAUUUAAUCUUAUAAGAAGUAAGCAGAUUUUUGUAAAGUAAAAAGAUGAUAGGUCAUAAGGCAUGUACAUAUAAAGUUUUCGUAGGAUACAAAUUAUCUUAUUACCGUCAUCAUUAAAUUUUAUGAUUAUUUGAGAUAUACAAUUAACAAUAUGUUAGGCUCAAAUAAUAUAAUUUUGGAGAAGAUGAAUAUAUUAUUAUUAUUAUUAUUAUUAUUAUUAUUAUUAUUAUUAUUAUUAUUAUUAUCACCAUCAUCAUCAUCAUUAAUUUAUUUAUAUAAAAUAUAUUGUGCUAAUUAAUUCCACGUAAGUGGACCAUCGAAUAACUUCAAUAAUUGAAAGGUGAAUUUUUCAAUCACAGUAGUCUGUUAAGUUAGGCAAGAUAUAUUUCUUUAUUACACUAGCCAAACAUAAUUGUAUUGAACAUUUUCAAGUACUUAAUUGUUUUAGUUUGAUAUUUACUUAUAGCUUAAAUUUAUAUUAUUUAAUAAUGUUUACGUUAGUUUUGAAGUAUGAGGCACUCACAUUUAAAAUUCUUAAAAAUUAUGGUAAAAGUAUAUAAGAAUUAAUAACUAAGGAAUCUUAAAAUAUUUACUAAAAGGAAAAUAUAAUUUAAAAAUUAAGAAUUUUUAAAAUAUUUGGUGAGAGUUCUAAAGUUCCUUUCAUAAACAUAUAUGUAUUUUUUUUAAUUUUUAAGUUGGUUAGUUUUCUUCCUUAAAGAAGAAAAGGGCACGAAAGCAUCAUAAAGGAAAUAUUAUUUGUACGUUUAGAGUCUUAUUUAAUAUGAAAUUGUGUGUUUAUUUAGAAGUCUAAUUAUGGUUGAUAUAAGAAAACUUUUCAACUUAUAACAAAUAAAUUUGGAGGAUCACAUUCAUGGUAACUUUAUUUAAAUGAGAAAAUAAAUUAUAAAAACGAUAAAUUAUGGACUUAUGCUAUAUGGUGAGAAUUAAUUAAUUAGUAAAAGCUUGUUUGCUAGAUAAAAAGUUUACGGUUUGGUCAUUUAAUUGAACUAAGAAACGGCAACUAUAAAUGUAUGAAAGAAAAAGAUAAAGAAAACAAAAUAUAAAACUCUUAUUCCUGUGGUUGUAGUUUAUUUAUUUUUUGUAAAUAAUUUAUGGAGAAAAAUAAAAUCUACUACACGACUCCUUAUCUUAAUAACAUGCUUAAAUUAAGAGAUGUACAAGAGUAUACUAAAAACAAAGAGGCGGUGAUGAAGAUCAUUAUGUUUACGGUAUAUAGGAAGAAAAAUUAAUAUUAAAACCCUAUCAUUUUGCUCUACAACAAUAACUUCAUCCAUCGAUAAUCAUAUUUAUCAUCUAAAAUUGAUGUCGGGGUCAUUCCAAAUUUAAGAAAGAUCAAUCAGUUUUUUGGGCUUCUUUAAAAUUUCAAAAUGUGGAGUUUUGGAGGUCUACUUUCAUGUUAAUAUUGUGUAUGUAUAAUUACUAAUAUUUAUUCAACUGAAGAUGCAUGCUAUCCAUGUCUAAAUGCGAUGGAGGAAGCAAGAGGAGAAUGAUCGAAACAGAGUGUUAAGCAUGUUCUGAAGUGAUUUUGCUCCGUCUACAGCUUAGCGUUGAAUUGAGAUUUGAUACAACCUAUAUUGUGUACUACUAUUCCAACGUGAUAUGGAUUUAAAAUUAAUUAAUUUGUAUUGUGAAUUUAUAUAGACUUCAAAUUUAUUAUGACUUGCAAUUGUAUUAUUAGUUAAUUUAUCCGAAUUAACUAUAUUAAAACUUUAUUGACUAUUUACUUUAAAAAAAAAGUUGUUGACUACUUGAAGUAUGCACACACACUUUAGUUAGUCAUAUGCUUGUAAAGUUGUGAGUUGUGUUGAUGAAUCUCAUUUAUUUAUUUGUAAUGAGUAUUUCUGAUUUUCUUUAAGCUUCAUCUAAGAAUCAUAUUCAUUAUAAGUACUUGAAAUACUGACUUGCAAAUUGUGAUAUUGUCUUGACAAUAUCAUUUAAUUAAUUUCUAACGUUAAGAAAUAAUUAUUUAAUAAUUUUCAUAAUAUUUAAGACUUUGAAAUCAAAAACAUCAAUUGUUGUUUUAUGAUUUAAUAUUUUCUAUUUUUUAUAAAUAAUUUAAUUAAUUGACGUGAGAUACACGCGCAAUGCGCGUACACUAAACUAGUACAUAUAUAUGUUUUGUUCAUUAGCAAAUAAUUUUACAAAAACUAUCAUUAAAUCAAUCUAAAAAUGUUUUACUAGAAAUGAAAAAGAAUUACAUAUGUAAUAUUCAUGUAAGACUUCGAAUGGACAAUUUUUUGUAUUCACUUAUGGAUUGUAUGUGUAAUUAUAAUUGACGUGCAUGUCAACUUGAAAAACAGAUAUUUAACAGAUAAUUUUUUUUAAAAAGAGACUGAAGUACAUUAAAUGGUUAGUGUAAAGAAUUUUUACUAUACAAGACAUGUCAUAACCAUGACAACUCAUAUGUUCCUCAGCGAAAGAAAUAAAUUAAAACACCUAAAUAUCGUGGACUCCAAUUACCAGUUGCCCCCGUAAAUUCGAGUUACUUCUGGUAACAUUAGGCAUUGAUAAAGUUGAAACCAAUAUUACUUUUUUUUCAAAAUUAUGGCACAAAUGAAGGGUUAUGAAUAAGAAUCUUACAAUGAAUUAGUGAAACUAAGGAUGCCCAGAACAAUGUUGCCACCCUGCAAUUGAUCACCACCUUGCAAUGAAUCAGAUAAUUUAUAUUAAAUAAAAUUCAUAGUGACGCGAAAUUGGAUCUUGAAUAAAACAAAAGAACCAAAUAAUUUCCAGAAAUGGAUUCCACCAUAGAAUAGGGCUAUUAGUCAAUAAUAAUAGAAAACCAUCUUGUCUCAUGAAUGGCAUUGUUGAUUAUGUGGGAUUGGUCAAUAGUCAAGUCUCUCUCGGUUUAUGAUGCAACUCGAAUUCUUUAUCGAAAAUGUAGUGUUUUGAUGUUGUCCAAAUUUCACUACAACGUGCUAAAUAUGUUUCAUUAAGUCCUAAGGUAGCCAUUGAACAUAAGAGAAUGGGUAGUUAGGUCAAAUCCGCCUAAAUGUGGGUUUCCCUAACCUAAAAUCGACGUUUCAAAUAUAACGGAACUCUCAGAAUUGACUUACGAGGUCGUUAGCCCGUGAAGUCGGUAUAAAAAUUUCUAAUACAAGCAAAGUACAAAGUGAAAUGCAGGAAUAAUGUAUAUGCAUAAACACAGAAUUAUGUACAUGUACAAACCAUCUCUGAAAUACAAAAUAGACAUUAACUACCAACAAGCUUAAGUUUUUGUGUCUACAAGGCUUCUUGUAUUCUCCAAGAAAAUUAAAACUCCAACCAUUUCAAAUAGCAACUUUUGGAUAGAAUAUACAUAAAGUGAUUUUCCUUUAUUGAAAAAAUUUAUAAAACACGGAGAAUUUGAAAGGUAUAUCAACUUUCAUGUUCUCUAAUUACUACUACCACUUCAUAGGUUCUUUAAUGCAUCUCUAAUAAAUAUCAGAUGAAUGAUUGCUUCCAUUUUAUAUCCUUUGUCUUAUAUUGAUCUAAUCUUUUACAAAAUUUAACUUCUCCACAUUUAACAAAUCAUGUUUAUAUCAAGAUAGCCUGGCCCAUUUGUAAUACUGACUGGUUACAAUGUUUCUUCAGGUUGAAGCAAGAGUAACGUUAAUAUGGUGACUAUUACUGAAAGAAUUGAAGAGGAAAUCCUUAACUUCUAUCAACAACUUCUAAUUCCAUUCCUUCAAUUGAUCCUAGAGUAAUGGGAGAUGGUUGUCAACUAAACAGAAGCCAACAAUUAGAACUGAUAGCACCAACCACUAGAGAGGAAGUUUUGUUAGCUAUAAACAUAUAAAUUUAUAAUAGUACAUCUCUUGGGUGUGAUGGGAUUAAUGUAGUACUCUUCAGGAAAUCCUAGAGUAUCAUAGAGGGCAGGUGACUAUUGUGGUGCUACACUUUUUUGAGCUAGUAGCAUGUGAAAAGCUAUAAGCUAUACUGUUGAAGAUAAUCAUCAAAUAGAAGAUAAGGAGAGUGUGUACGUAAGAUGAUUCUGUUAGAGUUGGUACGUUAGCUGAUUCUGUUAGAGUAGCUGAUUCUAUCAGAGUUAGCUAUGCUUUGCAUCUGUAAUUGAACUAGUAUUCUAGUAGUAGUAAACAUCUACUUGUAUGUGUAGUUGCCUAGUGAUACAACUCUAAGUCCUCUUUAUUGGCAUAGCUAGGACUCUUGUAAGUAGUCUAGGACUCUACAACUACAUUGUAGUCAACUCCUAUAAGUAGGAGCAUGUACUCGACUCCUUAAUCAUCAGAAAUAUACCUUGAUUCUCUUUAGUGUGCUUGAGAAUUCUACAUGGUGUUAGAGCAUUAAGCUCUUUCUGCUGAUUAAAUAUUUAAACCAAGAGCUAAACAUCUAAAAUCCUGAAAUGGCUCAUUCUACAUCCUCUUUCAAUUCUCUUCCCACUUCUUCUCUUCACCACCUCAUUGCUUCCUGUUCUAUUAAACUUAAGCAAUGAUACACAUUUGAUCCAAGUCAUGGGAUUAACUUAUCUCAUCAAGGAGAAGGAACCAAUUGUGAAUAAGCCAACUACUCAGAAGGUUGCAGAGAAAGCUAUGGUCAUAGGUACUGAGAAAGAUGAAGAAGAUAGUAAAAAUAUUGAUGACUGAGAGGAGAAAGAUGUAUUGUUGAGAAGUUGGAUCUCAGGUACCUUAACAGAAAAAAAACAUGUACCUCAUAGUUGCUCUACUGCCAAGGAAAUGUGGGAAUGCUUGGAAGAAGUCUAUCUUCAAGCAACAAAGGACAAGGAAUUUCAGCUCAAAUAAUAAUUGCAGAGUGUUAGGAUGGUAAACAAGAAGGUAGAUGAAUACAUCGAAGAGUUCAAAGGCACCUGUGAUGGACUUACAACUAUAUACAAACCUGUUGAUGAUGAUAGUAAAGUUAUCAACUUUGCUACAGGCUUAGGUCUCAAAUACAAGAUAUUCAAGACUGUCAUGUUAGGUAAGACACCCUAUCCUACACUAAAUUAGUUUAUUAAUGAACUCAGGGGUUUUGACAUGAGGGAUGAUGAAAAAGAGGUGCCACAACCAAACUUCAACAUGGAAUUCUCUGUUGUCUCUAGUCAAAGAGGCGGAGGAAAAGAAAAUUUCUCCAAAGGAGAAAAUAAUAACUUUAACUCCAGAGGAAGGGGUUUUAGACUUGCUGUAUCAUAUAAUCAGACUAACCAAAGCAAUCAGGAUGAAAAUCAAAAUAAGAAGAGGAAUGCAACUGAGUAAUGUCAAAUUUGUGGUAAGAAUAACCACCCUGCUCUUAAGUGUUUUUACAGGUGGGACUAUUCUUAUGAGGCUGUAAAUGAACUUCCACAAGCACUUGCUGCUAUGAAUUUGCAGAAUACAUUAAGUAGUGAUAAUACUUUGUAUAUGGAUUUAGGUGCUACUAGUCACAUGACAAACAACUUAGGUACUCUAACUGAUCUUAAACACUAUAAAGGUUCUGAUAAGAUCAUUAUUGAAAAUGAAUCUUAGUUAGAUAUUACACAUAUUAUCAAUACAGUCAGAUUAUGGCUGAAAUUACAAGAAGUUCUUGUAGUAACUAAGAUUGCUAAAUAUCUGGUCUCAAUUAGUAAAUUGCAAACGAUAAUUCCUACACUCUUGAAUUUAAUGAAACUUAUUUUGUUGUAAAGAACAAGAAGACAAAGACACUAGUGGCGAACAGAUCUAAAAGAGAUGGACUCUAUGACUUGGAAAACAACAAUCUUUAUGCAUUGACUGCCACACAAGACUGGAAGACCUCAGACAAUAUUUGGCAUAAUAGAUUAGGACAUCCUAAUUUGAAGAAUUUAAAGAUUUUGAAUAGUAAUAGUUGCAUUAAUGUUAGUAGUUAGAAUAAAAUUCAUAUUGUCUGUUCUAUUUGUAUUGGGCAAAGGUUGUAAACUACCAUUUGGCUUAAGGAAUAAAGUUGAGAAAGAACCUUUAUUGAAAAUUUAUUAUGAUAUUUGGGGUCUUGCACCUAUUGAAUUUACUCAAUAGAUGAGAUAUUAUGUAGUGUUUGUAAAUGAUAACAAAAGAUACACAUGGCUUUAUUCAUUGAAAAAGAAAUCUGAUUUUUUUGAUGUAUUUCUCAAGUUCCAAAAAAUGUUAGCAAGUCAUUUCUCUAAAGUUAUUAAGAUUUUUCAAUAUAAUGGAGGUGGUGAGUUCAUCAAAAUAGAAUUCAUUAAUCAUCUAGAAAGUUGUGGUAUUGUGAGACACAUCUCUUGUCCUAAUACAUCUGAACAAAAUGAAAUUUCUGAAAGAAAACAUAGGCACAUAGUUGAGACUGGACUUACUAUGUUACUUCAUACGAACCUGCCUCUUUUUCUAUAGGUAGAAGCCUUCUUAACUGUUGUGUUCCUAAUUAAUACACUGUCUUCCUUAGUACUGAAAAGGGUAACUCCUUUUGUCAAGUUAUAUCGUGUACAACUUGACUAUAACAGCUUACAGUAUUUGUAUGUAGAUGUUUUUCAUAUAUUAAGGGUGAUAUCAAGUUUAGCCCAAAGUUGAUGCUAUCAUCGUCCAACAAUGAGAGUCUAUGUGUCAAGGCAUGUCAUUUUUAAUGAAUGUACGUUACUUAUGUACAACCAAUACAGUCUCAAGAUAAAAUUGAUGUCUUAGCUCACCUAGCUACUUUUGUUGAGUUUUUUACUAACUUGCAGGCAGAUGAUUCUAAUAAAGUCACUCCAAGGGAAGUGUUGUCAGCUGCAGUGAAUCAAGCUACUCAACCAACCAUUGGUAAUUAAGCUACUCAUGCAGUUGAUCAACUAACACUUGUUGAUCCUAUGUUGCCAAUAUUGAAAACCAAACAACACCAGUUGAUCCUUUUCUAGCCACUCAUGUUAAUGAUGGCAAGGAUUCUAGUUUCAUAUCUACAAAUGAGUCUUCUGAAAUACUUGACAUCUCAAAUAUUAAAGCAAUAGGAGAUUCUACUGAGCCACCUAGCAUGCCAUAACCUACAUCACACUCUUAGUGUCUAAUCUACAAGAUGAUAGUACAGGUUCAACACCUAUAGAAAAUAGUGCAGUUUAGCUAUCACUAGAACCACAAAGGCAUCACAUAAUCACCAGAUAUAAGGCAAAAUCAAUUGCUUUAACUUACCUAUCUCCUAUUGCAAACAAAGAAGAGAUCAUGAGGAAACCAAAAUAAAGCACUAAAGUCACCAUAUUGGUUUACAGCUAUGUAGGAUGAGAUAAAUCUCUACACGAUAGCAAGACUUGGAUAAUAUUACCUAAACAUUCAGGUAUGAACUUGGUUGGAUCCUAAUAGGUGUUUAAGACUAAACUAUAAGCAAAUGGGGAGCAGUUGACUAGUACAAAGCAAGUCUUGUUGCUAGAGGUUUCUCUCAGCUUGAAGGAAUAGACUUCGAAGAAACAUUUAACCAUAUGGUUAAGGCUACAACUUUUAGAGUGGUUCUGUCAGUAGUUGUUGCUUUAAAAUGGUACAUCAGAAAACUUAAAGUCAAAAUUUUCUAUAUGGCCACUUGCAAGAAGAAGUAUACAUGAGUCAACCUCCAAAAUUUGCUGACCCCAGGUAACCAACUCAUGUUUGUUUGUUAAAAAAGGUAUUGUAUGGUAUUAAAGAGGCACCUAGAGCAUGGUUUGAUAGAUUCAAUAUGUAAUUGCUUCACUUUGGUUUCACUUGUAGUAAGACGGUUGUUUAUUUUACAUGGUAACAGAGGGACUAUCUUAUUAUUACUAUAUGUGAAUGAGAUAAUUAUCACAGGAAAUGAUCAAAAGCAUGUCUCAGAGGUGGUUGAUAAACUUGAGAGAGAAUUCUCUAUGAAAGAUCUUAGUUUUUUAUAUUUCUUUCUAGGAAUUGAGGUCAAAUACUUCCUAGGUGGACUGUACUUAAGUCAGGGGAGUAUGUUACUGAGGUUCUUAAUAAGACUGAUAUGACUCAGGAAAAAUCAAUGAAUACACCUUUGCAUAGAAACAUGGCUUAUAUGAAGUUGUUGGAAGUCCUAUUGAUUCAUCUAUAUAUAGAAGGAUUGUGGGAAGUCUUCAGUAUUUGAUACUCACAACGCCUGAGAUCACUCGUACAAUAAAUUUUUCUAGUAAAUUCAUGUAGGAUCUAAAUAGUGAACAUCUUCAAGGUGUUAAAAGGACCUUCAGGUACAUCAGAGGAACUUUACAUCAUGGGCUCAGAAUUAUUUACAUCAUGGGCUCAGAAUUAUCUCACAAUCACUCUACAGGUUAUAUGGCUAUUUAGAUGCUGAUUGGAGAGGCUGCUCUACAACUAGGAGGUCACCUACAGGUUAUAAUAUCUACUUAGGUGCAAAUUCUAUCUCUUAAACCUCUAAGAAAUAAACCAAAGUGGCAAGGUUUAGUGCUGAAGUUGAAUAUAAAGCCUUAGCUUCUACUAUAGCUGAGAUGACACAGAUUAUUUAACUUCUUCAUGACAUUGGAGUAUAUCUCAAAAUAGUGCCUAUACUGUAUUAUGACAAUUUCAGUGCCUUAUGUUUGACAGUUAAUCCAGUUAUGCAUGCCAGAAUAAAACAUAUAGAAAUGGACUACUAUUUUAUUUGAGAAAAGGUGGACAGAGGACAGUUACUUACACAUCCAACUCAUGUUUGUUUGUUAAAAAAGGUAUUGUAUGGUCUUAAAGAGGCACCUAGAGCAUGGUUUGAUAGAUUUAAUAUGUAAUUGAUUCACUUUGGUUUCACUUGUAGUAAGACGGUUGUUUAUUUUACAUGGUAACAGAGGGACUAUCUUAGUAUUACUAUAUGUGAAUGAGAUAAUUAUCACAGGAAAUGAUCAAAAGCAUGUCUCAGAGGUGGUUGAUAAACUUGAGAGAGAAUUCUCUAUGAAAGAUCUUAGUUUUUUAUAUUUCUUUCUAGGAAUUGAGGUCAAAUACUUCCUAGGUGGACUGUACUUAAGUCAGGGGAGUAUGUUACUGAGGUUCUUAAUAAGACUGAUAUGACUCAGGAAAAAUCAAUGAAUACACCUUUGCAUAGAAACAUGGCUUAUAUGAAGUUGUUGGAAGUCCUAUUGAUUCAUCUAUAUAUAGAAGGAUUGUGGGAAGUCUUCAGUAUUUGAUACUCACAACGCCUGAGAUCACUCGUACAAUAAAUUUUUCUAGUAAAUUCAUGUAGGAUCUAAAUAGUGAACAUCUUCAAGGUGUUAAAAGGACCUUCAGGUACAUCAGAGGAACUUUACAUCAAUACUAUACAGCCUAUGACUGGAUGUCAUGAGUUGUAGGGUGACUGUACGAUUCAUAAGGUCACUCAUAGCGAUUUGACGAUAAUUUUAGUCUUUUUACUUGGCCAUUUUGGAUAUUUCCCAUUUUCCCAAAACAUAACCCAUGACCUUAAAACAUAAUUGGGGUCUCAUUCUCAUCCAUAACACAUCAAAAACACAUUCUCUCUUCUCUCAAAUCCCUAAGGCAAGAACAAGCUAGGAUUUUCUAAAGGUUGUCUAUCUAGAGUUUCUACCCUUAAACUUGUUUUACGUAACGCAUGAGAUUACAUGAUUGUUUGUGUGGAUUUGAACAUAGGUUUUGAUAUGGUUAUAGGCUUUCAAUAUGGUUGACUUUUAAAUUAUUUUUUCAUAAUUUAUUAAUCAUUGUUUAUGCAUUAUUAAUGGUUUUGAACUCGUGGGGUGCAUGGGUAUGGUGAAUAAACUAAGGGGUUGUUUGGUAGAGUACUAAGAAUAAUGCAGAAUAUGGUGUAUUAGUAAUAUUUGCAUUAGUAAUACUUGUAUUAGUUAUGCUUGUAUUAGUUAUGCAAGUAUUAUUUCUUAUACAUUGUUUGGUUUGAUGUAUAAGAAAUAAUACAUCUUACAUAAUUUCUAUAAAAUAAAUCGUAGGCCAACUACUAUUUGUGAAAAAGUUUUUGAUGUGACUACGACUGGCAUGUUAUGAGUCAUAAGGACUCUAUACGGGUUGUAUGGUGUUUCUUGUAGCCCAACCAGUGAAAGUGUCAAAUGAAUCAUUCUUGACGACAUUUCGACCUAACGAGUCUUAAUGUCUGGGUACGAGUCAUAUGGUACGACUCGUAACCAGAUCAGUGUUGGUGCACAUGGAUACUAUACAGCCUAUGACUGGAUGUCAUGAGUUGUAGGGUGACUGUACGAUUCAUAAGGUCACUCAUAGCGAUUUGACGAUAAUUUUAGUCUUUUUACUUGGCCAUUUUGGAUAUUUCCCAUUUUCCCAAAACAUAACCCAUGACCUUAAAACAUAAUUGGGGCCUCAUUCUCAUCCAUAACACAUCAAAAACACAUUCUCUCUUCUCUCAAAUCCCUAAGGCAAGAACAAGCUAGGAUUUUCUAAAGGUUGUCUAUCUAGAGUUUCUACCCUUAAACUUGUUUUACGUAACGCAUGAGAUUACAUGAUUGUUUAUGUGGAUUUGAACAUAGGUUUUGAUAUGGUUAUAGGCUUUCAAUAUGGUUGACUUUUAAAUUAUUUUUUCAUAAUUUAUUAAUCAUUGUUUAUGCAUUAUUAAUGGUUUUGAACUCGUGCGGUGCAUGAGUAUGGUGAAUAAACUAAGGGGUUGUUUGGUAGAGUGUAUAAGAAUAAUGCAGAAUAUGGUGUAUUAGUAAUAUUUGCAUUAGUAAUACUUGUAUUAGUUAUGCUUGUAUUAGUUAUGCAAGUAUUAUUUCUUAUACAUUGUUUGGUUUGAUGUAUAAGAAAUAAUACAUCUUACAUAAUUUCUAUAAAAGAUAUGUUUGUUUACAAAAAUACCCUUCUUUGAUUUUGUACACUUUUUUGCAACGAAGUUCUUGUGCCAUCUCAAACAUAAUUAGUAUUGUUGAACUAGUAUAUAAAGGUUUAGAAUUAAUUGCAAGACCUUCUUCUUUGAGCAAAAAUGUUGUGUCGACGGAUUAACAUAGUCAAAACAAAAAUAAAAUACAAGACGUAAAAUUAAGAAAUAGUCUCAAUUUUUUUUAUCUUUUUAAAGACCCUCGAAGCAAAAAAAAAAAAUAUGUUAUAGUUAUUUAAAUAAAUUAUUCAUUGUUGUAAAUUAUUACGGUGGAAAAAAAUUGUGAAAUAUUUUGAAAAGAUUCACUAUUGCAAAUUAAAAUGGCAGGAAAAGGAAUGAUGAAAUAUUUUGAGGGAAAUUGAGAGGUAUUAAGGACAUCUAAUACGUUAAUGCAUGUGUUAAAGUCUUUGUAUUACUAAUACAUAGUAAAUGAAGUGUAUUACUAAUACAUACUUUAAUACACAAUAUGGUGUAUAACUAAUGCAUGCAUUAGUUAUACAUAGACAAAAAGACGUACCAAACAAGGUACUAGUAGUACACAUUAACUAAGGCAUGCAUUAUAGUUUACAAUACACUCUACCAAACAUCCCCUAAGAGGUAAUGGUUUUUCCCCAAUUUCAUAGUUUUGGAUGGACAUAUGAUUUUGGAAAUCGUGUUUCCUCAACCCAUUUGUGGAGUUGCUAUUGAAAUAUGAUUUUGUCACAUGGUUUGACUUGCUCACUUAUACUAGCGUAUGGCAUACAAGUCUAAUGAACCACAGAUUGAUUUUGUUGAACUUUGGGAAUUAUAUAUUUCCCCUGUGCAUGAAUAAUUGGACGUAAGGGAUCAUGAAUUCCCCUGUGUGAUGGAAAAUUGAUACAACAUGAUAAUAUUAACUUGCAAGUGAAGUUGGUAUGACAAUAACAGGGGGAUGCCUCAAUGAAUAAAUUGUUUCAAUGAAUGAACAUGAACGAAAAGUAUUUUAAUUGGGUUUUAAUGGGAGUUGUGUAGCCGGGCCAUGAAAGUGGAAGUUCCGAGGGACCAAUACUGGAAAUCACAUUUGUCGGUGCGGGGGUCUAAAUGAUUAAGUGGUUCAAGUCCUACUUAUUAUAUGGUUGGGAGGUUUGAGUCCCCCAUGUUACAUGAUUGAGUGCUUAAGCCACCCUUGAUAUAUGUCGGGAGGUUCGAGUCCCCCAUAAGGCAUAUGCACACAUGAUUAGUCUCUGGUUCUUGCGGCUACACGCACUGUGGCCCUUUUAACUGAGGGAGAGAUGGACCCAUAUACCCCGUGAGUGCCUUAUAAUAAUGGUUAUACUACACAAUCCAGGGUUUUAAAUUGCAUGCUAAGACUUGUUUCCAUAUCCCGACACGUUACAUAUAUAUAUGUAUAUGUUUAUAUGCAUUUGGAUUUUUGAAUAAUUUUGAAUUAUAGAUCAUGGCAUUACUUUAUCUCUUAUCCCUAAGUUACAUGCUAACCCGUUAACCGUUCCCGUACACUGCAUCCCCACAUAAUAUAGGGUUUAGAUACACUCUUACUUUUCUUGUGCGGUGACUAGGUGACUUUUGGAUCGCUCGUAAGUCAGUUUUGAAGUGGUGAGCUUCCAUUCUCUGAAAGAUUUAUCAUUUUAAAGUUUUGUUUCUUUUUUAUUCAACUUUUCUUUGUAAUUUGGUUCUUUUGGCAUCAUCGGGGCAUGUCCCGACUUAGAUUAUUUGGCUUAGACUAAAGGCUUUGUGGAUUACAGUGGACUGGGUAUUGAUAUUUAUAUUCUUAGAUAUCUUAUUUAUUUCUAUCUUGUUAUAUGUUCGAAAUUCAUCCGCUAUUAGAGUAUUGUGUUCUGUUUAACUCAGAAAAUAGGAGGGUCUCUGGUCCACAGUGGACUUGAGAUACCCAUCAUGACCAGUCCACGUUGGAGUAUGAUAGCUAAUCGUGAAAGUGUGAGUCUAAAGGACAGAUACUAGAAACUCAUAUUUGUCGACGGGUCAUGUCAAGUUGGUACCAGAGCCUAGGUUUUGGUUUCAUGGGGUGUUCACUAAGUCGUGUCGAGUAGAGUCUUGCUUAUGGGUGUAUUGUGCACUACACUUAUAAUCAAGAGUCUAUGAGGCAUUUAGGAAUGUUUUAUUUUCUUGUUAUUCUAUGUUUGGGCUAUGGAGUCUAAGUUCUUGAACUCUUCCCUAAAUCUUCUUUGGUUUACUUUUCAGAUUAUGUCCCCUCAAUGAUCUACUCAAUGAUCUAAGGUUCGUGAAAACUCACCUAUCCCACUUGAGGACAACAUGGAUGGAUCUAGUCCAACUCAUAGGGCACAGACCCAGUCAAGGAUCGCAGUUUCUAAUUUUUCUGUGGAGUUUCACCAGCCUCUAUUGACCUACUUUGUAAGGCGAUACUUAUGCUCAGUUAUCUCAAGGAGAGGUUACCAAUGUCAAGUUUUGAUAUUCAAUUCAUCUAUUGACCCAGAUAGUAACAAAUCUGUCACGCCAGUCCUGUCCUAUAGGUACAGGGGAGAAUAAGGAAAAGUCAGGAAAUGGACAGUGUAAGAGGUCUUAGUUUUUUAAACAAAGUAGAGGCCAACAGUAUUGUGGUAAGUAGUCUAAGAGAAAGAGUUGGGUGGGUCCUAACUCUUGUGCUAUGGCUAGUGCUCCCUACCAUAAAUUCGUUGAGAGAUAGAUGUUCUCAGAUUGCUAAUGCUUCUAGGGCACAAGGUGAUCAAUCUUGAGAUGAUGGGGCCAAUUCAUUCCAUCCUAUUCUCCUUUUCGAUUUUGUGGUCAGUCGCACCAUGGUUGUUGCAAGGAAGGGGAGAAUCAUUGUUUUAGUUAUGGUCAGUUGGAUAAUAUGCAAUGAGAGUGUCCCACAAUGAUUUUUGCUUAGGCAAAUAGUGGGUCAUGUCAAGUUGGUAUCAGAGCCUAGGUUUUGGUUUCAUGGGGUGUCUACUAAGUCGUGUCGAGUAGAGUCUUGCUUAUGGGUGUAUUGUGCACCACACUUAUAAUCAGGAGUCUAUGAGGCAUUUAGGAAUGUUUUAUUUUCUUGUUAUUCUAUGUUUGGGCUAUGGAGUCUAAGUUCUUGAACUCUUCCCUAAUUCUUCUUUGGUUUACUUUUCAGAUUAUGUCCCCUCAAUGAUCUACUCAAUGAUCUAAGGUUCAUGAAAACUCACCUAUCCCACUUGAGGACAACAUGGAUGGAUCUAGUCCAACUCAUAGGGCACAGACCCAGUCAAGGAUCGCAGUUUCUAAUUUUCCUGUGGAGUUUCACCAACCUCUAUUGACCUACUUUGUAAGGCGAUACUUAUGCUCAGUUAUCUCAAGGAGAGGUUACCAAUGUCAAGUUUUGAUAUUCAAUUCAUCUAUUGACCCAGAUAGUAACAAAUCUGUCACGCCAGUCCUGUCCUAUAGGUACAGGGGAGAAUAAGGAAAAGUCAGGAAAUGGACAGUGUAAGAGGUCUUAGUUUUUUAAACAAAGUAGAGGCCAACUCGGAAGAUGUUUUUUUGCAUUUAGUUUUGGUGGUGAAUGAGUUUUCCUGAAGUCUUUUUUAUGAUCCUCAUGGUGUCCUUUUAAUAGGGAGAUUGAGUUUGGGAUUGGUCUUAUUUCAAACGUUUGUCCAAUUUCUAUUCUUUCCUUAAAAAAUGGUUCUAGUUGGAUUAGAUAAGCUUAAGAAGAAAUUAAGGGAUCUUUUAGAAAAAGGUUCACCCGUCCUAGUGAUUCUCUGUGGAGUGUUUCCUUUCUCUUAUGUAUAAGGGGGAUGGUUUUCCCCGGAAAUACAUAGGUUGUUGGUGGGUGAAUGAAGAAUUUAGGUUGUCCUCCUUGUGGGGUCGACCAUAUAUGCAUAUUCUAUAUGGAGUGCUUGGUCAAAGUAGUAAAUGGUGGUUGAUAGACACUAAGUGUGAAUCUUUAAUGUUAAUAUUGAUAAAGAAAAUGUGUUAGCUCGGGGAUAGCAACGCAAAAUUGUAAAGGUAGAAUGAGAGGUUGAAUGAGGUGUGCGGAACGGGGCAAGGUUAGUGACUUGAGAAUGUACUAGUGGAAAAUUGUGACUUAUAGGCUGAAGGUUCAGGUUAAACAGAUGAAUUAGGGGUUAAGUCAUUGAGUGAGUUAGAGCAUAGAGUUUGUUUGAUUAUUCUGGGCUCUAUGUAGCAUUUGGAUGGAUGAGGUUUUAAGUAUAGGGGAAUCGAACAUCCUUGGAGUACAUCCUGGGUGAUAUAUUUUAGAGCGGAGUGUUGUGCUUAUAGGUGUCAUGGGAUGAAAGUCGAGGGUUAAACUAAAAUUUUUGUCUAGCGGUAGACUCUAAGGGAAGGUCGGGUUGCAUAUUCUAGCGAUGCUCUCUUAUCUUGGUUAAAAGCACUCUCCUAGUGUUUCUUGUAUUCUAAUGGCGCUUAUGCUUAAGGUUCGCAUUUUGCAUUUGCCUUGUUCCCUGGAUAUGAAUCUUGACCUUAUGUUGCAUUACCUAUGAUAUAUGCGUUCAUGUGUCUUUUGAUCCAGACCUAAGGACUCCUAUUAUAGUGUGUUAUGUCGGGUUGUUUCUUUAAUUUUGACCUAGGUAGUUGCUAUGAAGUACUUAGUGCCUAUGGUUUCGUGUCUUGCUUCAGGGGUCUCACUUUAGUGGCAUGUACAAUCCUUAUAAUUUGGUUCCUUAAAUGACUCUUCUUAUGUUAGGAUGGUAGUGUCUUAGGGAGCAUGGUGAUGCUUUAAAACAAGGGAUGUAAGAGUCCCCAAAUGGGGGAGAUCUUAGGUUGACUACUAGGACUAAGGUUUUGGAAGGUCUGGUAGGGUAGUUGUAUAAGGAAUGGUUAGGAGGAGAGCAGGUGGUAAAAACCUUUGUGAAAAUGAUAGAGGGUACUAGAUAUUUGAAAGGAUAAAUCAUACCGUGGGUAUAUAAGCGGUAGGCUUGAAUGUUAUGAUUGAUAGAUACAUAAUAGUUGUGUUAGGUACUUAAGAGGCUUGGUGAGGCUUGAUGCUUUGCUAUAUAAUUUCUAUUCUUUCCUUAAAAAAUGGUUCUAGUUGGAUUAGAUAAGCUUAAGAAGAAAUUAAGGGAUCUUUUAGAAAAAGGUUUCACCCAUCCUAGUGAUUCUCUGUGGAGUGUUUCCUUUCUCUUAUGUAUAAGGGGGAUGGUUUUCCCCGAAAAUACAUAGGUUGUUGGUGGGUGAAUGAAGAAUUUAGGUUGUCCUCCUUGUGGGGUCGACCAUAUAUGCAUAUUCUAUAUGGAGUGCUUGGUCAAAGUAGUAAAUGGUGGUUGAUAGACACUAAGUGUGAAUCUUUAAUGUUAAUAUUGAUAAAGAAAAUGUGUUAGCUCGGGGAUAGCAACGCAAAAUUGUAAAGGUAGAAUGAGAGGUUGAAUGAGGUGUGCGGAACGGGGCAAGGUUAGUGACUUGAGAAUGUACUAGUGGAAAAUUGUGACUUAUAGGCUGAAGGUUCAGGUUAAACAGAUGAAUUAGGGGUUAAGUCAUUGAGUGAGUUAGAGCAUAGAGUUUGUAUGAUUAUUCGGGGCUCUAUGUAGCAUUUGGAUGGAUGAGGUUUUAAGUAUAGGGGAAUCGAACAUCCUUGGAGUACAUCCUGGGUGAUAUAUUUUAGAGCAGAGUGUUGUGCUUAUAGGUGUCAUGGGAUGAAAGUCGAGGGUUAAACUAAAAUUUUUGUCUAGCGGUAGACUCUAAGGGAAGGUCGGGUUGCAUAUUCUAGCGAUGCUCUCUUAUCUUGGUUAAAAGCACUCUCCUAGUGUUUCUUGUAUUCUAAUGGCGCUUAUGCUUAAGGUUCACAUUCUACAUUUGCCUUGUUCCCUGGAUAUGAAUCUUGACCUUAUGUUGCAUUACCUAUGAUAUAUGCGUUCAUGUGUCUUUUGAUCCAGACCUAAGGACUCCUAUUAUAGUGUGUUAUGUCGGGUUGUUUCUUUAAUUUUGACCUAGGUAGUUGCUAUGAAGUACUUAGUGCCUAUGGUUUCGUGUCUUGCUUCAGGGGUCUCACUUUGAGUGGCAUGUACAAUCCUUAUAAUGUGGUUCCUUAAAUGACUCUUCUUAUGUUAGGAUGGUAGUGUCUUAGGGAGCAUGGUGAUGCUUUAAAACAAGGGAUGUAAGAGUCCCCAAAUGGGGGAGAUCUUAGGGUGACUACUAGGACUAAGGUUUUGGAGGGUCUGGUAGGGUAGUUGUAUAAGGAAUGGUUAGGAGGAGAGCAGGUGGUAAAAACCUUUGUGAAAAUGAUAGAGGGUACUAGAUAUUUGAAAGGAUAAAUCAUACCGCGGGUAUAUAAGCGGUAGGCUUGAAUGUUAUGAUUGAUAGAUACACAAUAGUUGUGUUAGGUACUUAAGAGGCUUGGUGAGGCUUGAUGCUUUUGAAGAUUGGAGGCUAGGGUUUCCACAAAUGUUCUUUCAAAGGCUCAAGAGUCAAGUAUCCUUCCGUGAAUAUUCUUGUAUAAGGAAAGUUACUCCCCCCUUAUUGUUAGUUCCAACUAAAGGCAUGAUUUAAUGUGUUUUAAACCUUGCUUAUGAAUCAUAAAUGGUAGUUUUAGAAAAUCAGUGUUAAGGGUUUUGAUGCAUAUUGAUGAGUAUUGUUUACUCUUGGUUUAAACUAUGUUUUCACAUGUUUUUGGUGAUGGUUUGCACAUGUGGGUGCUUUUUGGUUGUGGUUUAACAAAUGGUCAUGGGUAACCCUAAACUUGAUGGUUUAUGCUUUGGUUUUGGUCUUGGUAAAGGUAUGCCCUCAACAUGUUUCAUAAAAUGCCUAAAGUGGACAUGGAGUCUAAGUAUCUGCAUUAGUUCUUUGUUGUGGAAACUCGUGCAUAAAGAUGCGUCUUUCAUCAUAACUUGGUUAAAAAAAAGGGUGGAUUUCGAUAUGUCCUUGUAUUCUAACUUAGUUAAAGGUCGGAAUGGAAGUGUUGGGGUGUAAAUCGUGCUUGGGGUAUGUGGUGAUCUGCUCAUCUUGUGUUAUGUCUCUGUCUCCUAAUUUGAUUGGAGGAAAGUUUGAUGUGUGCUAAUGCGUUAACUCGUGCUUGUGCUUGCCUUUACCCGUUAUUUGAGGACGAAUGAUCCUAAGUGGGAGAGAAUGAAACACCCUAAAGUUGGUCCUUUAGAAAAAUUUCCUUAGUUUGAGACUCUGGGCAAGGUACGACUCAGUGGGAGUAGUCGUAUCCUAGGAUACGGGUUGGGGUACCUCUUCUCGUAUGCUGGUCAGUAAGUUUUGGUUGGUUUCUGUACAAGAUAGAGUAGGCAUCAUACGAGUCGUAUAAUAAAAUAAUAGUGAUAUCUUGCAAAUCAUAUGAUGACCUAAGGUUAGUCUGGUGGAUUCAAUUCUAUCCAAGGUACAACUUAGGGUACUAUUCGUACCUUUGGGUACGAGUUUGGCAUGGUUUUUGUAUGAUGACCAGUGUGGAGGUCCACGGUGAGGUAUAGGGUACGAGAUAGAGUACCACUCGUACCCUAGCGUAUGGUUUAUAUGGGUAAGUCGUACCCUCUUGGGAGUUAGUUUACAUCUUUUAAGCUAAAGGCUUUUCAGAAAUUUCCUACCCCAAAACCUUUAUGUCCCCACACUAUAUAACUCAUUGUAGCCUCUCAUAACAUUCAUUUGGUGGAUCAAAAAUUCUAAAUACCCUCUCGAAGUCACUCUUGAAGAUUGGAGGCUAGGGUUUCCACAAAUGUUCUUUCAAAGGCUCAAGAGUCAAGUAUCCUUCCGUGAAUAUUCUUGUAUAAGGAAAGUUACUCCCCCCUUAUUGUUAGUUCCAACUAAAGGCAUGAUUUAAUGUGUUUUAAACCUUGCUUAUGAAUCAUAAAUGGUAGUUUUAGAAAAUCAGUGUUAAGGGUUUUGAUGCAUAUUGAUGAGUAUUGUUUACUCUUGGUUUAAACUAUGUUUUCACAUGUUUUUGGUGAUGGUUUGCACAUAUGGGUGCUUGUUGGUUGUGGUUUAACAAAUGGUCAUGGGUAACCCUACACUUGAUGGUUUAUGCUUUGGUUUUGGUCUUGGUAAAGGUAUGCCCUCAACAUGUUUCAUAAAAUGCCUAUGAGAAUGUUUUUACUAUAUUGUUAAACUUUCAUUGAAACUAUUGCGUGGUAUUAUUUGGUUAUGGAACCCUAAAUUGGUUUAGAUGGUUUUUAAAUGGUUUGAAUAGACUUGCAUAAUUUUGAGUGGUGUGAAUAGUUUGGAAUGGUUAAAAUGGUAAUGCCUUGUGGCUACAAAAUUAUUUUGAAUGAAAACCUUACAGGGUACAUGGAAAUCCCCCAAAUGAAUGCAUAAUGAAAAUAGUUUGAAUGAUGAACCUCUUGUGGGGUACAAGGGAAUCCCUCAAGCAAAGCUUAAUAAUGAAAUACUUGUGGGGUAUAUGGAAAUCCCCUAAGUGAACUUAAUGAAGUAACUUAUGGGGUACAUGGGAGUCCCUUAGGGUUGGCUAAAGACAUUGCUUGCAAGCUAUAGUUGGUAUGACGAUACCACUAAUGAUAGCCUCCGUUAAUAAUAAAUGGAAUGGUGGUUUGGUUGUGUGGCAAUGGUUUUAAUUGGACAUUAAUGGCGGGGUGUGAUAGCUAACCAUAAAGGUGUGAGUCCAAAGGACAGACACUGGAAACUCAUGUUUGCAAACAUGAGGAUUGGGCAUGGCGAUCCUAUACUUGAGGGGUACACGGGAAUCCCCUAACACUUGUAUAUAUGUAUCAUGGGGAGCGAAGGGUACACGGGAAUCCCAUACUCCUAUGGUAUCUUCGGUUCGUGCGUCUACACGCAUCGGGGCCGGUCUAGGGGUUUUCACUGAACCCAUAUAGUCCGUCGAUGGAUUAUGAUGGUUAAACUACAUAUACCCAGGUUAAUGGUUUUUAAAGGCAUGCUAAACCCGAUUUCCUUUCUCAGCAUGAAUUUUAUAUCUAUAUAUAUAUAUAUAUAUAUAUAUAUAUAUGCAUAUGGUUGUUUACUUGGUUUACUUUGUUCCUUUCUCAGCAUGAAUUUUAUAUAUAUAUAUAUAUAUAUAUAUAUAUAUGCAUAUGGUUGUUUACUUGGUUUACUUUGUUUUAAAGGUUGACAUUAUUUUAUUCUUAUCCUGAGUGCUUGCUAACGUUAACUCGCUAACCCGUCUUCGGGCAGUUGUAUCCCCACGCGAUGCAGGAACCGGCCAAACUACUCUUCCUGCUCAUUGAUUGAAUUUAGGAACAACCAGUGUUGGGUGGAAGCGGUGAGCUUCCAUAGUUCGGAAGACAUCCAUUCCAUGUCAUGGAUAAUUUUACAUACUCUUGUCUUUUCAUAGACUUUGAUUUUGGCUAUGGUCGGGGGCAUGUCCCGACUAGAUACUCUUUGGUUUGAUUUAGAGGCUUUGUAUGGACAACUGUGGACUUGGGUAUGGAAUGGUUAUGAUAUAUAUAUAUAUUAUGUACAUUGAAUUAUCGUUUGUAGUUUGGUAUGUUGGUUACUGGACGGAUUGACUUGGUUGGGUUGGUCUAGUAAGUAGACCUAUCCCAAAGUCAUUAUAUCUCUUAAUUGGCUAUCUUGUUAUAUGUUCGGAAUUCACCCGACUCAAGAUACUCGUUGGUUGGUUGGAUUGGAUUUUCGGGAUGGUCUCUGAUCCCGGUUGCACUUGAGAUACCCAUUACGACAACGCCCCGAUUCGGGUCGUGUCAUUCAUCUACUAUAAAAUAUUCAGGUCAAUCUCUUGUUGCACUAUCUUCUAUAAAGUUAUUUCCAAAAUCUUUACCAAGAGAAUGCAGGGUAUCUCGAAUCUCAUAGUGGAUCCUAACUUGUCAAGUUUUCUCCUAGGGAGGAUGAUUUAAGAUAAUAUCAUCUCAGGACAUGAACUAAUUAAAGGAUGUGGUAGGGAAUGGAUAUCCCUCAGGUGUAUGCUUCAAAUAGACAUACAAAAAUUAUAUGACUCUGUUAAGUGGUUCUUUUUUUGUGUGGAUAAAGUCUUACAUCACCUGAUUCAAGCAAGGAUAUAAAUUGGAUCAUGGCCCAUGUUAAAUAUGUUUCCUACUCCAUUUUUCUUAGUAGAGUUCCUGUGAAGACUUUUGAUGAUAGGAAAGGGUUGAGACAAAGUACCUAUCACCAUACUUAUUGUGAUUGUUAUGAAUUAUUCUAGUAGGUUGCUCAAAUACUUGGCACAAAUCAAAAAGCUUCAAGUAUCAUAGUAAAAAUGAUAAAUGAACAUUGUGCAGAUAGGAUUUGUUGAUGAUCUCCCUUUGUUCUCCCGAGGGGACCUUAAAUCAAUACAUCGCCUGUUUGACUAUUCUAGAAAGUUAUUUUUGGUGACUUAGGUAUUAUUGUCAAUCAGAACAAUAGCUCAAUUACACCAAAGACUAGUCAAGAGCAAAUCUUAUAGAUAUUUGGCUUCACUAAGGGUGAGUUGGCUUUUAAAUACUCAGAGGUACCUCUUAACACUAAAAGAUUUAAAUUGUAUAGUGCCAAGUCCCAUGGAAAAAAAUGAUAGAAAGAAUCACCUCAUGGGUAUCAAGGCUCCACUUAAAUGUAGGGAGGGUGCAAUUUAUGUUUCUAUUCAUUUAAUACAAUUGGUCACAAAUUUUUGUACUCUCCAAAAAGAUGAAUACAAUGCUCAUUUCUAUUUAUAGAAGAUACAUGUAGACAAGAAAGCUGAAAAAAGGCUAUUAUUAUUUCAAAACAAUUGGGCAAAGGAAAAAUUUAACACUGCUGGGGAGCUAAAUAUCACAGAUAUUGAGGUAUAGAAUAAGCUGAAGUAGCCAUUGCUAAAUUGUUGGCGAGCUUAAGACAUAAAAAAGAUAAACUCUAGGUAAGAUAGGUAUAUUGUUAUUACAUAAAGGACUCUUCAUGGAAAGCUUUUUGAUUGAGUGGGAUUCCCAAAAACUCAAAAGGAGGUUCACCUAUUCACUAUCCUAGAAACUACUCCAUCCUAUUGUUUGACCCACCAAAAUAAAUAGAGCUUUUUCCUAAGUUAGCUUAGAGACCUGAGGGAGCACCAAAUUGUGAGAAACAUUGGUGCAUUGCUUGGACAGAGUAUGUAAGUCACCUCUUGUAAAAAGGACAAGGUCAUCCACAAAGUAAAGAUGAGUGGGGUUAAGUUUGGAACAUUUGGGAUGAUCCCUUGGGUCCAUGAGAGACAUACUCAAAUAGUCCAUACAAAAAUAUCAAAUAGAAAAAGCGACGAUGGGUCUCCCGGGUAAGUAAGACCCUUAGUAUUUCAUGAGCUAAGAUGGUAUUGCUCGAAUUAUCCUUUCUGGAAUGAAUUCAACUUCGCUAUCACAUAUCACACUCCCUAAGAUGAUAGCAUCACCAAGUUUGAUCCUUUGUACUUUCGAUUUUUACCUAACAACAUUUUCUUCAAUUAUAGACCAUGGAUGACCUGUUCCUCCUAACUAGUCAAGUCCUUAGAUGGUUGUGAAUUAAUUCUCUCAUGGAUAGAUACUAGAUCUUCCCUAGCUUUAGUAAUCUUGUGCAAAUGAACUUAAAACUCUAGUUUUCUAAGUGUAGGCUUAAGCUCAUGUAACUUCCACCAUACAUUCUUCAUGUUGUUAGUAGAGAGUUAUUUCCUUUAUGUGUGUGCAACUAUGGUUGCGAAUAUAGAAUGAUUGGCCCCAGACAUUGAAAAACUUGAAAGCCAUCUUAACAUGUCGUUAACUGCUUCAUGAACCCAUCUAACUUGACUUUAUUGUUCUUCAAGUACUUCUUUAACUCUUUUUAGUUAUACCUCUUAUUCACUCCUUUAGUGUUCCAAAAGAGCCAAUUCAUCAAAUAGGUAGAGAAGGAUGAUCCAUGUUCCUGAUCAUUCUUAGGUAUUCCAAGUUGUUUUUCAUUAAAGAUAUAUGCUAGGAUUGGGAAAUUUACCAUGUUGAACUCAUUACUACAACUACUAUUUUUUCUUUCUGUUUAUGAUCUUUUUGAGGGCUUAGAUGAAUCAUUUAUGAGCUUUGUCAACAGGGAUGGUUGAGUUCUGUGUCCCUAUGUGUUCUUUGUCAGCAUCCUGGUCUACUUCUUGUGCAUGUGGCUCACAUACUUUAGGAGGUAUAUUACCCUUAUAUCUCCAUUGUUGUGUGGCUUAUCUAGGUGCUCUUCUUCUCCUCGGUUGAAUAUCUCUUGGGUUCUCAAGCUUUUGGAGAGGUAAGCAUUUAUGACUAAUUGCUUGGGAAGUAUAACAGAAUCAGGGUUCCAUUAUAUUCUACAACUACAUAUUUUCUCUGGAAUUGGUUUGGUUACUUUUUUCUAUUUUAUUGUUAUAUAAGUCAGUUUGCGUUUCUGCAUUAAUAUAAUAAGGUUGUUUGGAAAAGGGGAGCAAGGAAUAUGAUCGGAUCUUAUAUGGUGUUUCAUUUUGAGUAAAAUGAAAAAAAAUCAAUUACUGCCUCUUCAAUUUCACCAAUUGUUCAUUUUGAGUUUAUAAAUUGUUGUCGAGAGAAAUAACGUUUUAGCCCAUCAUACUUUUCUUUUCAGUUUUAUAUUUUUUUAGAAGAAAUAUUCAGUUUUAUACAUAAGAGAUCUAAACAUAUUAUUUUCUUAUAUUCAAGCAAUUAUAUAAUAAAACAAGAGAUCGUUGUAUCUCAAUAUAUUAUCCGGAGUUCAAACUAUGAGUAAUAUUGAUCGUUUAUAAACUUGUUAUACAGGUAAAGUUGACUUCUUAGCAAAGUAAGUAAUACUGAUGGUUUAAAAUUCUGAGUACAUUAGUUAAAAGGCUAGUCAAUUUUCCAAAAUUAUUUUUAAAAGUCCUCUUUUAUUCGUAAUAAUAGAGUCACCAAACUCUAUAUAUAUCAUUUGAAAAAGGCCAAAUGCAUGUACCCUUGUAUCAUCAAACUUCUUCGUUGUUAACUGGUUUAAUUUUUAUGAUACAUAUUUUCGAUCUUUGGAUUUACUUAUAAAACAAAUAGUGAAUUUUAUUUAUAAUAACAACAUAUCAAUUGAAAUCUCACAAGUGGGGUUUGGGGAGAGUACAGUAUACACCGAUCUUAUCACCACCUUGUGGAGGUAGAGAGGUUGUUUCCAAGAGAUCCUCGACUCAAGUACGACAAAUUUUAGUAGGAGAAGAAGAAAACAAUAUAAAAAGCAUAGCAGGUAAUAUAAGAAAAGCAGUGUCGCGCCUACAUGAAAUGAACAAUAACAAUAGCAAAAUAAUGUGGUAAUCAAAAUUCAAUAUCAAACAACAUAUCACGAUAGAUAACAAAUAUAAGGACUACAAGGAUACGACGAAUACUAUUACAGACACCAAAAAUCUUAAACCUCUGAAAGGCAAAACAACACUCUGCUCCUCGCUAACCUUCUACCUUAAUACGCGAUCUUCACACCUUCCUAGCUAAAGUCACGCACUUCGUAAUACGAAGUUGUGUUAUGUCCUGUCUAAUAAUCAUCUCCUUCCAAUACUUUUUAGGUCUACCUCUUCUUCACAUUGCCAAACCAUAAUAAAAACAAAUAAAUUUUAUUUAGAAAAUAAAAAUGUGAAAAUACUUCCUAGUAUAUAUAUUAUUGAAUAAUAAAGAAAAUAAGUAAAAUAAUUUGUUCGUAUCAAUAACUUUGAUGUUAAUAACAUUAAAGACCCAAAAUUUACACAAUUGAGAAUGAAAGAACAUAAGAGCUUCGAAAACAUAUAUAAAAUGUGUUAUAAAAAAAGAAGAAGGUAUAUUUCAUAAUAUAUCUUAAAAUAAAGGUAUAUUCCAAAAUAUACCUUAUAUAUGCUUGAAAAUUGCGCUCACAUUUCAUUAUUUUACCAUUAUAUAUGCUUCAAAACUAUUUUUCAAUUUUUGAUUUUAUAAAUAAUAUUUAUUUGUUUAAUCGUUAAAUUCAAAAUAUAGGUUAAAAAGAGAAGAAACUAUCAUAAUUUUGAAACUAUCAUAAUUUUAUCUUUAAAUAAAAAGCUAGAAACUAUAAGAAAAAAAUUAUAUAUGAUCGAUUUAUCAGUACAACCUUUUAUGUAAUAGGAAUAGUUAAACUGACUUUUUUAUUGUAAACAGAAUAGAAAAGUAUGAUUUUACUAGAUAAUAAUAUUUUUCGAUUAUGAUUUACUGGAUAAUAUUUUUCAAAUAUUUGAAUGACUAAUUUUUCGGUAAUUGCUACGUUUUAGCAAAAUCGAUAUGCACUCACAGAUCACACCUGUGUUUUCCGAAUCCCAAGCAGAAAAGGGUAGAAUGUCUGCAAAUCUCACCUCUACAUCUAGAGGGGCUAUUUUUGAUAGACCCUCAACUUAAUCGAUAAAUGUCAUACAAUCUGAAAAGGGAUACACAUAUUGAAGGAAUCCUAAUACAAAUUAAUCAAAUUUGAAAGUGCUACACCACAACAAUAGAAAGGACAAUAAAGAAAAUGAAAUAAUGCAAUAAUCGGUACAUUAAAAACAUCAAUAAACUCUGAAAUCGAAGCUCAAAGAACUACAAACAUAGUGUUACUACUACUGAAAAGGCGAGAUGUCCUAGAAUAACCACCGAACCUAUCUCGCAGGGAGGUGUGAGAACGCUCAACUAUCAACUAACCUUCUACCACACGCAACCUCCGAACUUUUCUAUCUCUAAUUACGGAGAUAUGCAAAAGUUGUAAGAAAGAACUUAUAUUAUUUGAACCAAAAUAUAUGAACAUACCUUUGAUUUUUUUUUUCUUUCGCUGGAAUAAGCUCGUCAACUUCUUUCAGAGAGGAAAUAUUCAAGUAAGCAUGAGUCCAAUAAAAACUAAAUUGUUCAAUUGGGCUGUAUUGUGUAUCGUUAUGUGAUUUAAAUUAGUAAAGCUAAAACUAAUGAAACAUUGUCAAAAUAAAUAUUCUCUCCGUCUAAG
rnacentral:lncRNA from 1 species